rnacentral:rRNA from 1 species
CCUACGGGAUGCAGCAGUGAGGAAUAUUGGUCAAUGGGCGCGAGCCUGAACCAGCCAAGUAGCGUGCAGGAUGACUGCCCUACGGGUUGUAAACUUCUUUUAUCAGGGACGAAGCAAGUGACGGUACCUGAUGAAUAAUCCACGGCUAACUACGUACCAGAAGCCGAGGUAUUACGUAGGGGGCAAGCGUUUUCCGGAUUUACGGGGGGUAAAGGGCGUGUAGGCGGGAAAGCAAGUCAGAUGUGAAAACCAUGGGCUCAACCUGUGGCCUGCAUUUGAAACUGUUUUUCUUGAGUACUGGAGAGGCAGACGGAAUUCCUAGUGGAGCGGUGAAAUGCGUAGAUAUUAGGAGGAACACCAGUGGCGAAGGCGGUCUGCUGGACAGCAACUGACGCUGAGGCGCGAAAGCGUGGGGAGCAAACAGGAUUAGAUACCCUAGUAGUC